rnacentral:rRNA from 1 species
AGGAUGAACGCUGGCGGCGUGCCUAACACAUGCAAGUCGAACGUCCUGUCUCGCAAGAGGCAGGGAGUGGCGGACGGGUGAGUACCACGUGGGUCAUCUACCGUGAGGUGAGGAAUACCGGCGAGAAAUCGCCGACAAGACCGCAUAGGCUCGAUGCAAGUCGAGCAAAGCUCUUUCGAGAGAGGGAGCGCCACACGAGGAGCCUGCGCCCGAUUAGCUAGCUGGUGGAGUAACGGUUCACCAGGGCGACGAUCGGUAGCUGGUCUGAGAGGACGAUCAGCCACACUGGGAUUGAGAACGGCCCAGACUCCUACGGGGGGCAGCAGUGAGGAAUUUUCGUCAAUGGGGGCAACCCUGAACGAGCAACGCCGCGUGCAGGAAGAGGUUUUCGGAUCGUAAACUGCUUUUCGUCGGGGAAGAGAACGGACGGUACCCGAGGAAUCAGCCCCGGCUAACUACGUGCCAGCAGCCGCGGU